rnacentral:rRNA from 1 species
UUGCUCUUCAACGAGGAAUUCCUAGUAAGCGUGAGUCAUCAGCUCGCGUUGAUUACGUCCCUGCCCUUUGUACACACCGCCCGUCGCUACUACCGAUUGAAUGGCUUAGUGAGGUCUUGGGAUUGGCUUCGGGGAGCCGGCAACGGCACCCUGUCGCUGAGAACUUGAUCAAACUUGGUCAUUUAGAGGAAGUAAAAGUCGUAACAAGGUUUCCGUAGGUGAACCUGCGGAAGGAUCAUUAACGAGUUUUGAAAGGGGUUGUAGCUGGCCUUCCGAGGCAUGUGCACGCCCUGCUCAUUCCACUCUACACCUGUGCACUUACUGUGGGUCUCAGGCGAGCGUCGGUCGCUUCGCGGCGUCGUCGUUCAACUGGGCUCACGUUUUACUACAAACUAUUAAAGUAUCAGAAUGUCUACUGCGAAUUAACGCAUUUAAAUACAACUUUCAGCAACGGAUCUCUUGGCUCUCGCAUCGAUGAAGAACGCAGCGAAAUGCGAUAAGUAAUGUGAAUUGCAGAAUUCAGUGAAUCAUCGAAUCUUUGAACGCACCUUGCGCUCCUUGGUAUUCCGAGGAGCAUGCCUGUUUGAGUGUCAUGAAAUUCUCAACCUAACGAGUCUUUGCGGGCUCGGUAGGCUUGGACUUGGAGGUUCUUGUCGGCCUAACGGUCGGCUCCUCUUAAAUGCAUUAGCUCGGUUCCUUGCGGAUCGGCUCACGGUGUGAUAAUUGUCUACGCCGCGACCGUUGAAGCGUUUUGGCCGGCUUCUAAUCGUCUCGUUGGAGACACUACUCUUUAUGACCUUCUGACCUCAAAUCAGGUAGGACUACCCGCUGAACUUAAGCAUAUCAAUAAGCGGAGGA